ensembl:lncRNA
CAGCUCACUAGCAAGAAACUUCAAAGUCCUGCCUCCUCCGGUGGAAAUUAGACCUGCCAUGGAUGAACUGACAGUAGCCGAGCUAAAAGAAGCCAGCCAGCCAGCACUAGUCUGCCUAUGGUGGGAGGUUUGAUUUGGGAUGGGGGAAUUGGUGGCCCAGCAGGUCUGCCUGGUCUGCUGGUCUGGGCAUCCAUCGAUGGAAGUGCAUCACACCUCUGGCCAGCUAGAGGCUCCUCCUCCCUGUUCCUCCUCCCUGUUCCUCAUCCUUGCCGACUGAGUGACCGAUCGUCAGUCUUGCUGAAUGGUCAAAGAGCGCGUCGAGCUGUCACGCACCAGCGCCACCGGGGAGGGGCCAUCCUACGCCCGCGCCGCCUAGUUCGCCGUUACCCACAAGGCACCUGGACAGGAGAGGGACCCGCAGGGGCCGGAGACAGGAAGAGUGUCAGCUUGGCCAAAAUGAGGGUCACCCCCCCCCACUCCCCACCCAGCAGAGAUGUCCCCGGGGGGAGACGGACAGGAAUGCUGAUAAAAC